GAGGGGGGCGGCUACCAUGCAGUCGAGCGGUAACAGAUCCAGCUUGCUGCCUGCUGACGAGCGGCGGACGGGUGAGUAAUGCAUAGGAAUCUGCCCGAUAGUGGGGGAUAACCUGGGGAAACCCAGGCUAAUACCGCAUACGUCCUACGGGAGAAAGGGGGCUUCGGCUCCCGCUAUCGGAUGAGCCUAUGUCGGAUUAGCUAGUUGGUGAGGUAAUGGCUCACCAAGGCCACGAUCCGUAGCUGGUCUGAGAGGAUGAUCAGCCACAUCGGGACUGAGACACGGCCCGAACUCCUACGGGAGGCAGCAGUGGGGAAUAUUGGACAAUGGGGGGAACCCUGAUCCAGCCAUGCCGCGUGUGUGAAGAAGGCCCUCGGGUUGUAAAGCACUUUCAGCGAGGAAGAACGCCUAUCGGUUAAUACCCGCUAGGAAAGACAUCACUCGCAGAAGAAGCACCGGCUAACUCCGUGCCAGCAGCCGCGGUAAUACGGAGGGUGCAAGCGUUAAUCGGAAUUACUGGGCGUAAAGCGCGCGUAGGUGGCUUGAUAAGCCGGUUGUGAAAGCCCCGGGCUCAACCUGGGAACGGCAUCCGGAACUGUCAAGCUAGAGUGCAGGAGAGGAAGGUAGAAUUCCCGGUGUAGCGGUGAAAUGCGUAGAGAUCGGGAGGAAUACCAGUGGCGAAGGCGGCCUUCUGGACUGACACUGACACUGAGGUGCGAAAGCGUGGGUAGCAAACAGGAUUAGUCCC
rnacentral:rRNA from 1 species